rfam:Asian citrus Psyllid, Diaphorina citri - Florida Strain, whole genome shotgun sequence.
GUCAGGUUGGCCGAGUGGUCUAAGGCGCCAGACUCAAGCGUGAUAGCUUCGCAGUUUCACACUGUGGCCUGGGUGUUCUGGUCCUCGUCUGAGGGCGUGGGUUCAAAUCCCACACCUGACA